AGAGUUUGAUCCUGGCUCAGGAUGAACGCUGGCGGCGUGCCUAACACAUGCAAGUCGAACGGCAGCGAGGAGUGCUUGCACUCUGUCGGCGAGUGGCGAACGGCUGAGUAACGCGUAGGAACGUACCCCAAAGUGAGGGAUAAGCCCGAGAAAUCGGGUCUAAUACCGCAUAUGAUCUUCGGAUUAAAGCAUUUAUGCGCUUUGGGAACGGCCUGCGUCGGAUUAGGUUGUUGGUGAGGUAAUGGCUCACCAAGCCGACGAUCCGUAACUGGUCUGAGAGGAUGAUCAGUCAGACUGGAACUGAGACACGGUCCAGACUCCUACGGGAGGCAGCAGUGAGGAAUCUUCCACAAUGGGCGAAAGCCUGAUGGAGCAACGCCGCGUGCAGGAUGAAGGCCUUCGGGUUGUAAACUGCUUUUAUAAGUGAGGAAUAUGACGGUAACUUAUGAAUAAGGAUCGGCUAACUACGUGCCAGCAGCCGCGGUCAUACGUAGGAUCCGAGCGUUAUCCGGAGUGACUGGGCGUAAAGAGUUGCGUAGGCGGUUUGUUAAGCGAAUAGUGAAAUCUGGUGGCUCAACCAUACAGACUAUUAUUCGAACUGGCAAACUCGAGAGUAGCAGAGGUAACUGGAAUUUCUAGUGUAGGAGUGAAAUCCGUAGAUAUUAGAAGGAACACCAAUGGCGUAGGCAGGUUACUGGACCAUUUCUGACGCUAAGGCACGAAAGCGUGGGGAGCGAACCGGAUUAGAUACCCGGGUAGUCCACGCCGUAAACGAUGGAUACUAGCUGUUGGAGGUAUCGACCCCUUCAGUAGCGAAGCUAACGCGUUAAGUAUCCCGCCUGUGGAGUACGGCCGCAAGGCUAAAACAUAAAGGAAUUGACGGGGACCCGCACAAGCGGUGGAUCAUGUUCUUUAAUUCGAUGAUAAACGAAGAACCUUACCAGGGUUUGACAUCCCGAGAAGAUUUACGAAAGUAGAUUGUGCCUUUUGGAACUCGGUGACAGAUGAUGCAUGGCCGUCGUCAGCUCGUGUCGUGAGAUGUUUGGUUAAGUCCAUCAACGAGCGCAACCCUU
rnacentral:rRNA from 1 species